rnacentral:rRNA from 1 species
CGAUAGUAGCGGCGAGCGAAAUCGGACUAGCCCAAACCAAUAUUGUUACGGCAAUAUUGGGGUUGUAGGACCACGACAUUUGAUGCUAAGCGAAUUAGAACAGUUUGGAAAGACUGGCCAGAGAAGGUGAUAGCCCUGUACAAGUAAGCGAAGUUAUUGAUAGUGGUAUCCUGAGUAGUGCGGGACACGAGUAAUCCUGUAUGAAUCCACCGGGACCAUCCGGUAAGGCUAAAUACUCCUGAGAGACCGAUAGUGAACUAGUACCGUGAGGGAAAGGUGAAAAGAACCCUAAGUAAGGGAGUGAAAUAGAACCUGAAACCGUACGCCUACAAGCGGUCGGAGCAACUUCGUGUUGUGACGGCGUGCCUUUUGCAUAAUGAGCCUACGAGUUACUGUUUCUAGCAAGGUUAAAUAUUUAAGAUAUGGAGCCGUAGCGAAAGCGAGUCUGAAUAGGGCGCUUUAGUUAGUAGUAGUAGACGCGAAACCGGGUGAUCUACCCAUGGGCAGGUUGAAGCUGUGGUAACACACAGUGGAGGACCGAACCAGUUGACGUUGAAAAGUCUUUGGAUGACCUGUGGGUAGGGGUGAAAGGCCAAUCAAACCCGGAAAUAGCUCGUACUCCCCGAAAUGCAUUUAGGUGCAGCGUUGAGUAAAAGUUUUAUAGAGGUAGAGCUACUGAUUGGAUGCGGGGGCUUCACCGCCUACCAAUUCCUGACAAACUCCGAAUGCUAUAAAAUGUUUCUCAGCAGUGAGGGCAUGGGUGCUAAGGUCCAUGUCCGAGAGGGAAAGAACCCAGACCAUCAGCUAAGGUCCCCAAAUAUAUGUUAAGUUGAAAAAACGAGGUUUGUCUGCCCAGACAGCUAGGAUGUUGGCUUGGAAGCAGCCAUUCAUUUAAAGAGUGCGUAACAGCUCACUAGUCGAGCGGACGAGCAUGGAUAAUAAUCGGGCAUAAACAUAUUACCGAAGCUAUGGAUUAACGUUGAAAGACACGUUAGUGGUAGGGGAGCAUUGUAACCUGCGUAGAAGGUGUGCUGUGAGGCAUGCUGGAGUGGUUACAAAAGAAAAUGUAGGCAUAAGUAACGAUAAUGGGGGCGAGAAACCCCCACACCGAAAGACUAAGGUUUCCUCAGCGAUGCUAAUCAGCUGAGGGUUAGUCGGGUCCUAAGGCGAAUCCGAAGGGAGUAGUCGAUGGAUAACAGGUUAAUAUUCCUGUACUUCUUAUAAUUGCGAUGGGGUGACGGAGUAUUGAAAGCACCGCGAACUGACGGAAUAGUUCGUUGAAGACUGUAUCUAUAAGAUCUGUAGGCAAAUCCGCAGAUUUUGGAGAAGGUUGAUAGUACUACAAAGCUUCGGCUGCGUAGAUAGUGUGCCUAAAAGCUUCCAAGAAAAACCUCUAAGCUUCAGAUUAUAAGAACCCGUACCGUAAACCGACACAGGUAGUUGGGAUGAGAAUUCUAAGGUGCUCGAGAGAUUCAUGGCUAAGGAACUAGGCAAAAUAGACCCGUAACUUCGGGAGAAGGGUCGCCCAUCUUCGGAUGGGCCGCAGUGAAAAGGUCCAGGCGACUGUUUAUCAAAAACACAGGGCUUUGCUAAAUUGAAAGAUGAUGUAUAAGGCCUGACACCUGCCCGGUGCUGGAAGGUUAAGUGGAGUUGUUAGCUUCGGCGAAGCAGUGAAAUGAAGCCCCAGUAAACGGCGGCCGUAACUAUAACGGUCCUAAGGUAGCGAAAUUCCUUGUCGGGUAAGUUCCGACCUGCACGAAUGGUGCAACGAUCUGGACACUGUCUCAGCCAUGAGCUCGGUGAAAUUGUAGUAUCGGUGAAGAUGCCGAUUACCCGCAGCGGGACGAAAAGACCCCGUGAACCUUUACUAUAGCUUAGUAUUGGCUUUGGAUAAGUAAUGUGUAGGAUAGGUGGGAGACAUUGAAGUGGCGUCGCUAGGCGUUGUGGAGUCGUCCUUGAAAUACCACCCUUUGCUUAUCUAGAGUCUAACUCAGAGAUGAGGACAGUGCUUGGUGGGUAGUUUGACUGGGGUGGUCGCCUCCAAAAGAGUAACGGAGGCUUCUAAAGGUACCCUCAGCACGCUUGGUAACCGUGCGUAGAGUGCAAUGGCAUAAGGGUGCUUGACUGAGAGACAUACAGGUCGAUCAGGUUGGAAACAAGAGCAUAGUGAUCCGGUGGUUCCGCAUGGAAGGGCCAUCGCUCAAAGGAUAAAAGGUACUCCGGGGAUAACAGGCUGAUCUCCCCCAAGAGCUCAUAUCGACGGGGGGGUUUGGCACCUCGAUGUCGGCUCGUCACAUCCUGGGGCUGGAGAAGGUCCCAAGGGUUGGGCUGUUCGCCCAUUAAAGU